rnacentral:lncRNA from 1 species
GUCAGGGAGGGAACCUACUGUACCAUUUACCCCUAAGCAACAUCCCUGUGCAUUAUAUGCAAGUGGGCUUUUUGUACAAGUAGCUCUGAUCUCUCUACACAAUUCCUCUAUCUUACUUAACACAGUAAAUUGCCACACACGCACUCAUCCAAGGUGAAUCAUGAUUUAAUCCCAGGUGAAUGCAACCCAUCCCCUGGCAGUGCGCUACAGCCUUGCUACUCAAAAGUGUGGUCCAAAACCCACCUGCAGGGACAUCACGUGGGAGAUGGUUGAAAAAGCAGAAUCCAGGAGCCCACCCUAGGUCUACUUAACUGCAGCCAUUCAUAAACAAACUGUUGAAAAAGAAGCACAAGACAAAGACCUAUGAUACUGGACAAGAAAACAAAAGUUCUGGGAGUUGGAUUUGAGAUGAUUAUUUUUUGUAUAGGUUUUCUACUUAAACUCAAUUUAGAUCAUGUUUACUCAUCACGUGGGAAGAGAACAUCAGGCUCCUUCAGCUUCACAGCACUCAACUUAUAAGAUCAAACAUACACAGAGUUUACUGCUAGGGCCUGGGAAAAUUCCAACAGAAACCCUGGAGAGAGAGAGAUCCCCUGCGGUGGUACCAUCUCUUCUGGCUGGGAGAUUGAUGUGGAAACUGGGGAAAGAAUAUUCAGGCUGAAAUGAAUAGAAAGAGCUCUAUAAAUGAGUAACAGGAUAAUUAAAGCAUGAAGCUUUCUACAUCUCGAGAUAAUGGUAAUGGAGUUCAAGCUACUGAUAGCAUCUUUUAGAGUUUGCCAGUUUGUGAGGAAUGGAGCCAAGUUAAGAAUAGACCAUCAAUCAACCCUAUAAAGAAGUUUGUGUGUCCAUUAAGUGUUCUGCAAUUACCAGAAGUACCCACCUAUUUUCAGAAAAAGGCUGAGAAAGAAAGGAGGAAAAAGCCUCUCCAAAUACAAUUUUUGCCACACGCAUUUCUGUGACUGUUUAACUUCAUCUGAAGACAAAGGUGAAGCUCUUAAACACAGACUUGAGGUUGCAGCCCAAUGGUUCCCUGCCCCCCACCUUUGGGUUGUGGUGUGAAACUGGCUUAAAGUGAUCAGGGCCACCUGCAGACAAUGUCAUCAGCUCUGGAGAACACCCAACUUCAUGAUGUCAGGAGGAAGCAAGUUUGGGCCAUGAAAAGAGCAUCCCAUUGUGGAUCACCUGCUGUGAGGGAAGCCAUUUUGUGAGGACAUUUGAGCAGCCUGUGGAAAGGUACAUGUAGCAAGGAACUGAGGUCUCCUGCUGACAGCCUGCAUCAACUCACCAGCCAUGUGAGAGAGGCACCUUGGAAGCAGUGCCUCCAGCCCCAGUCAAGCCUUCAGAUGACCACAUCUUGGCUGACAUCUAGACCACACCCUCACAAGACACCUUCAGCCACAGCCACCCCACCAAACCACUUCUAAAUUCCUGACCUACAGAAACUGAAAACAUUCACAUUAUAUUGUGGUUUUAAGCUGCUAGGCUUUGAAGUAAUUUGUACACAGUAAUAUUUAACAAAUACCAGCACUCAGGAAAUACAUGUUGAACAAAUGAACAAAUAAACGAGUGAAUUAGAUUCACAGCAGCAUAAAACAAAGUUUUGCACUAUCUGCGUUAUCCUGAUCAGGG